UUCUAGGUCUUCUCUUACAAGAAAAGAGAUCACAAAAUCACCAGACAAAAAACAGACAAAUUUACUAGAAACACGCUGAAGAUCUUAAGGGAAAAUAAAAAGAAAAAAACAGGGAAUUGAUUGAGGGAGCAACCUGUUUGGCCAUCAAGAGGACGACAUAGGGAUCGCUGCUCCAGGCGUCCCGGAUGGCAAGGUUCACCCCUCUCAGCACCCGCACUCUUAGAAGCCCAAGCAAGCGCUCCACCAUUGCUUCUCUCUCUCUCUCUCUCUCGUUCGUUGAGAGAUUCCACCGUCUCCGUGGUUAAUUUAAUUUGUUUAUAUAGGAGGGCGAAGAAGAGUGGGAAGACGAGGCCGGGACUGGAGACGUCUCCAAUACUGCCGGCGUAGGUCAGGAGGCCG
rnacentral:lncRNA from 1 species